rnacentral:misc_RNA from 1 species
UUAGUUGAGUUGAGUUGAGUAUGUAUAAUGCACAUGAACAUGUGCUUAUCUUUCAGACAGUUAAUGUUUUGCAUAUUAGAUGCUAGCAAAUUAUGAAAAACUUGACUCUCUUGAAAGUUGCCCGUCUUUAUACAUGUAUCACUGAAGUUGAUGCAUUUGGACAGGAACUCGUUUUUGAAAUUCAUUGCUGUGAUUGUUUGUCCCUAUGUAAUUGCUGGCUGAGAUUUUCUCUCAUCAGCAUUGAUUCUUGUUUUUCUUCUU